GACGAACGCUGGCGGCGUGCUUAACACAUGCAAGUCGUACGGUAAGGCCCUUUCGGGGGUACACGAGUGGCGCACGGGUGAGUAACACAUGAGUAACCUGCCCACAACUUUGGGAUAACGCUAGGAAACUGGUGCUAAUACUGGAUAUGUGCUCCUGCUGCAUGGUGGGGGUUGGAAAGCUCCGGCGGUUGUGGAUGGACUCGCGGCCUAUCAGCUUGUUGGUGGGGUAGUGGCCUACCAAGGCGGCGACGGGUAGCCGGCCUGAGAGGGUGACCGGCCACAUUGGGACUGAGAUACGGCCCAGACGCCUACGGGAGGCAGCAGUGGGGAAUAUUGCACAAUGGGCGCAAGCCUGAUGCAGCAACGCCGCGUGCGGGAUGACGGCCUUCGGGUUGUAAACCGCUUUCAGCAGGGACGAAGCUUUUUGUGACGGUACCUGCAGAAGAAGCACCGGCUAACUACGUG
rnacentral:rRNA from 1 species